rnacentral:misc_RNA from 1 species
GAUGAAGAACGUAGCGAAAUGCGAAAAGUAAUGUGAAUUGCAGAAUUCAGUGAAUCAUCGAAUCUUUGAACGCACAUUGCGCCCGCUGGUACUCCGGCGGGCACGCCUGUCCGAGCGUCAUUUCAACCCUCAAGCCCUCCUUCGGGAUGGGCCUGGUGUUGGGGCUCGGCCACCAUCUCCGGCGGCCGUCCCCUAAAUACAGUGGCGGUCACGUCGCGACUCCUUUGCGUAGUAGAAACACCUCGCUCCGGAUAGCAACGCGGUCCACGCCGUAAAACCCCCAAUUUUCAAUGGUUGACCUCGGAUCAGGUGGGAAUACCCGCUGAACUUAAGCAUAUCAAUAAGCGGAGGA